GUAGGGGGCAAGCGUUGUCCGGAAUGAUUGGGCGUAAAGGGCGUGUAGGCGGCGAUUUAAGUCUGGAGUGAAAGUCCUGCUUUUAAGGUGGGAAUUGCUUUGGAUACUGGAUGGCUAGAGUGCAGGAGAGGUUAGUGGAAUUCCCAGUGUAGCGGUGAAAUGCGUAGAGAUUGGGAGGAACACCAGUGGCGAAGGCGACUAACUGGACUGUAACUGACGCUGAGGCGCGAAAGUGUGGGGAGCAAACAGGAUUAGAUACCCUGGUAGUCCACACUGUAAACGAUGAAUGCUAGGUGUAGGGGGUAUCGACCCCUUCUGUGCCGGAGUAAACACAAUAAGCAUUCCGCCUGGGGAGUACGGCCGCAAGGUUG
rnacentral:rRNA from 1 species